rnacentral:rRNA from 1 species
AGAGUUUGAUCCUGGCUCAGAGCGAACGCUGGCGGCAGGCCUAACACAUGCAAGUCGAACGGAUCCUUCGGGAUUAGUGGCGGACGGGUGAGUAACACGUGGGAACGUGCCCUUUGGUUCGGAACAACUCAGGGAAACUUGAGCUAAUACCGGAUGUGCCCUUCGGGGGAAAGAUUUAUCGCCAUUGGAGCGGCCCGCGUCUGAUUAGCUAGUUGGUGGGGUAAAGGCCCACCAAGGCGACGAUCAGUAGCUGGUCUGAGAGGAUGAUCAGCCACAUUGGGACUGAGACACGGCCCAAACUCCUACGGGAGGCAGCAGUGGGGAAUCUUGCGCAAUGGGCGAAAGCCUGACGCAGCCAUGCCGCGUGAACGAUGAAGGUCUUAGGAUUGUAAAAUUCUUUCACCGGGGACGAUAAUGACGGUACCCGGAGAAGAAGCCCCGGCUAACUUCGUGCCAGCAGCCGCGGUAAUACGAAGGGGGCUAGCGUUGCUCGGAAUUACUGGGCGUAAAGGGAGCGUAGGCGGACUGUUAAGUUAGAGGUGAAAGCCCAGGGCUCAACCUUGGAAAUUGCCUUUGA